rnacentral:rRNA from 1 species
AGGGUUUGAUCAUGGCUCAGAACGUACGCUGGCGGCACGCCUAACACAUGCAAGUCGAACGAAGUAGCAAUACUUAGUGGCAGACGGGUGAGUAACAUGUAGGUAUCUGCCCUUUGGCCUGGAAUAACACGAGGAAACUUGUGCUAAUACCGGAUAAGUCUUUACGGAGAAAGCUUUAUGCACCAUUGGAUGAGCCUGCACUUGAUUAGUUUGUUGGUGGGGUAAUGGCCUACCAAGACUGUGAUCAAUAGCUGAUUUGAGAGGAUGAUCAGCCACAUUGGGACUGAGACACGGCCCAAACUCCUACGGGAGGCAGCAGUGGGGAAUCUUGCACAAUGGAGGAAACUCUGAUGCAGCGAUGCCGCGUGAGUGAAGAAGGCCCUUGGGUUGUAAAGCUCUUUCGUCGGGGAAGAAAAUGACUGUACCCGAAUAAGAAGGUCCGGCUAACUUCGUGCCAGCAGCCGCGGUAAUACGAAGGGACCUAGCGUAGUUCGGAAUUACUGGGCUUAAAGAGUUCGUAGGUGGUUGAAAAAGUUAGUGGUGAAAUCCCAGAGCUUAACUCUGGAACUGCCAUUAAAACUUUUCAGCUAGAGUAUGAUAGAGGAAAGCAGAAUUUCUAGUGUAGAGGUGAAAUUCGUAGAUAUUAGAAAGAAUACCAAUUGCGAAGGCAGCUUUCUGGAUCAUUACUGACACUGAGGAACGAAAGCAUGGGUAGCGAAGAGGAUUAGAUACCCUCGUAGUCCAUGCCGUAAACGAUGUGUGUUAGACGUUGGAAAUUUAUUUUCAGUGUCGCAGGGAAACCGAUAAACACACCGCCUGGGGAGUACGACCGCAAGGUUAAAACUCAAAUGAAUUGACGGGGACCCGCACAAGUAGUGGAGCAUGUGGUUUAAUUCGAAGAUACGCGCAGAACCUUACCAACACUUGACAUGUUCGUCGCGACUCUAAGAGAUUAGAGUUUUCGGUUCGGCCGGACGAAACACAGGUGCUGCAUGGCUGUCGUCAGCUCGUGUCGUGAGAUGUUGGGUUAAGUCCCGCAACGAGCGCAACCCUCACUUUUAGUUGCCAUCAUUAAGUUGGGCACUCUGAAAGAACUGCCAGUGAUAAGCUGGAGGAAGGUGGGGAUGACGUCAAGUCCUCAUGGCCCUUACGUGUUGGGCUACACACGUGCUACAAUGGUAUCUACAACAGGAAGCAAAACUGCGAAGUUAAGCAAAUCCCUAAAAGAUACCUCAGUUCGGAUUGCACUCUGCAACUCGAGUGCAUGAAGCUGGAAUUACUAGUAAUCGUGGAUCAGCGUGCCACGGUGAAUGCGUUCCCGGGUCUUGUACACACCGCCCGUCACACCAUGGGAGUUGGUUCUACCUUAAGGCAAGGUUUCAAACCCUUGACCACGGUAUAGUCAGCGACUGGGGUGAAGUCAUAACAAGGUAGCCGUA